rnacentral:tRNA from 1 species
AGGGAGUUGACAGAAUGUUUAUGUAGCUAGCUUGAAACUAGUGUUAUGUGGGUUUGAUUCCUACACUCUCUU